AAACUGAAGAGUUUGAUCCUGGCUCAGCGCGAACGCUGGCGGCAUGGCUAAAGCAUGCAAGUCGAACGUUUAAAGCCCCUUCGGGGGUGCAUACAGUGGCGAAAGGGCGAGGAAUACGUUCCUACGUACCCCGAGGUCGGGGAUAGCCCGGGGAAACCCGGAGUAAUACCCGAUGUGGUCCGUCGCAAGGCGGAUCAAAGGCUUCGGUCGCCUUGGGAGCGGGGAACGUCCUAUCAGGUUGUUGGUGAGGUAAAGGCUCACCAAGCCGAAGACGGGUAGCGGGUGUGAGAGCACGAACCGCCGCAUCGGGACUGAGACACUGCCCGGACUCCUACGGGAGGCUGCAGCAACGAAUCUUCCGCAAUGCGCGAAAGCGUGACGGAGCAAUGCCGCGUGCAGGAUGAAGCCCUUCGGGGUGUAAACUGCUGUCAGGGUUUAGCAACACAAUGAGCAGACCCAAAGGAAGGGCCGGCUAACUUCGUGCCAGCAGCCGCGGUAAUACGAAGGGCCCGAGCGUUGCGCGGAAUCACUGGGCUUAAAGCGUACGUAGGCGGGCAUGCAGGCAUCUUGUGAAAUCCCUCGGCUCAACCGAGGAACUGCUUGGUAAACCGCAUGUCUUGAGGCAAGUAGGGGCUGUCGGAACGAUAGGUGGAGCGGUGAAAUGCGUUGAUAUCUAUCGGAACGCCGAAGGUGAAGACAGGCAGCUGGGCUUGUUCUGACGCUGAUGUACGAAAGCGUGGGGAGCGAACGGGAUUAGAUACCCCGGUAGUCCACGCCGUAAACGAUGUGCACUAGAUCGAGGGGGUUCUGACGCCAUUCUCGGUCGAAGCAAAAGUGUUAAGUGCACCGCCUGGGGAGUACGGUCGCAAGGCUAAAACUCAAAGGAAUUGACGGGGGCUCACACAAGCGGUGGAGCAUGUGGCUUAAUUCGAAGCAACGCGAAG
rnacentral:rRNA from 1 species